CUGAUUCAUCUGAUAGGUAUAUAUAUACAUGUAUUUUGGCAUGUGAUAUUAAAAGCUAGACUAUUUCCAGGUUUAUAUGAAUAGUGAUAGACUAAGUUGAGACAAAGGCUAUUUGAAUAACAAAUACCUAUGGUAUUGGAAAAAUUGUCAUGAAUCUGAUAGUGUUUCCAUUCCAGCACCAAUUUCCCAGUCUUCAAAGUGUGGCAGGGAGCUCAAUCCGUGACAAGAUGUUUGGGACAGGCAAAACAUUGCCCCAAGCGGAAUGCCGAGACCUGGGCAAACCAAUUCCUUUCAUGAGGGCCCCUCAUGAAUAUGAUGAAAAUGAUAUAAUGAUGAAGUGCAUCAUUUAAUAAGUAUGAGAAGCGAAACGAAUCAAUGCUGUGACAAGCUUUCAACUUCUGCCCCAGAUUUCCUUGCUUCUGCCCCAAAAUUCCUCAAACCUGCCACAACCUGUGGUGUGUGCCCCGACAACAUAUUGUCAAGACCUGCCACGUUUUGCAGACUGGCCCAUUUCUGUAUGCCUACCUUCCAGGUGAAGAUGCCUGGUGAGCGAGGGAGAGGACGAGGACGUGUGAGGAGAGGAGGUGGUCGAGGGGCAAGAAGAAUUCUCAACUUUUCACCCACCGCCCAGCCCGAGCCCCAAAGGUGUACCAGUGGAAGCUCCUGCACCACGUCUUUAAGGACCACCUUGUGAUGCUGAACCCGGUGCACCUUUCCCUACAAGUGCACCGUCUGUACGGCCACAUUCGCAUAUGUAUACAAACAGUUCGAGAAUGACGUCUACAGCUCUCACUCUGUCGUCGCCAAGAAGAUUAUGGAGUCGUUUGGCCGUAGGAAGGCAGCUGCGGCGGCGGCCGCCACCGGACAGCCCAUCAAAAUCAACAACGAGAUCACAAUUCACAAUCAUCCCUCACACGGGCUCGGGCAGUGCGGCAAAGGGCUCGUCUCAGGCCAGCUCGACGCCGGUGAAGCGGCGGCGACCGGAGUCGGCGCCGGCUCCCGUGGAGCGUGAGUGCGAGCUGUGCGAGCAUCGCGCGCUGCCGUGGUGCAGCCGCGGCCGCUGACGGAGCACUACCUGCGCCAGGCGCCUGCACCAGGGCCGGCCAGAGCUCGAGUUCACGCCGCUGAUGCGCGACCCCAAGUGCGCCACCUUCGUCACAGAGGAGAUCUGCGAGCAGCUGCGCCGGCGCGCCGCCGCCGAGGACUCCGACAGUGGGGUCGAGGUGGAGGUGAGCGACGCGAAGGACGGCGCGGCCGGCGGCGCCCCGUCCGCCUCCGGUGGCAGCGCGCUCAGCAAGCUCAACGAGGAGACUCACGCCUAUUGCCGCGGCGCGGCCCCGCCGGCUGGUGACCGUCCGGAAACCCAAGCCGUUCAUGGGUGACUGAGUGAAACGAAUGGACGUGCGUGUGCGUUUUUGUUCUGUGUAUGCGUGCGUUUGGAAAUGGCGUCUCUGUGUGCGUGCUUGUUUUGUAGAAGCGCUAGCGGUGCCGACGGACCCAGCGAUGGCGCGGAGGGCUUUGAUGUACCGUGUGUCUUUGAUGUUGAUGCAUUCCCGUGUUUUGUUGGUCGCGCGCCCAGCAGCACCGUGUACAUAGCCGGGGGCGUUCCUGCUCGACGCCACGUUCUGUUCGUUGUAUCUCAGUGCCAGCUUUUUGCUCCAAGUCCCGCUCGUGGAACACGCGACUCGCUCGAUUCAAAUAAUAAAUAUACACUGUAUUCUCUAACAA
rnacentral:lncRNA from 1 species